UACGUAGGGUGCGAGCGUUAAUCGGAAUUAUUGGGCGUAAAGCGCGUGUAGGCGGCUUUGCAAGUCGGGUGUGAAAGCCCUCAGCUUAACUGAGGAAGUGCGCCCGAAACUGCUUGGCUUGAGUACCGGAGAGGAUGGCGGAAUUCCCCAAGUAGAGGUGAAAUUCGUAGAUAUGGGGAGGAACACCGGUGGCGAAGGCGGCCAUCUGGACGGAUACUGACGCUGAGACGCGAAAGCGUGGGUAGCAAACAGG
rnacentral:rRNA from 1 species